GAACAACGAUGUUGUCAUAAUUCUAAUCACAACAUAUGUUUGAAAUAUUUUUUUGGUUAUACAAAAACAAACAAUUAUAACAUGCUUCUUUAUAAAAAUUAGAACUAUUGCUUCCAAGGAUGACUCCCUAGGCACGGGAAUCAUUCUAAAGCUGCCUUUGAGUAAACUAUGAUGACAAGGGGCUUUCAACCAAGAACCAGAAUUUGCUUGACUACCCACAAAGGUCAAAACUAUUCUUUACAACUUCAAAAAAGCUAAAUAUAAUCCAAAAAUAAUUAUAGAGAGGUUAGUUAGUAAAACUAAGUCAUGACUACAAUAUGGAAGGGGGGAAAUGAUUGUUUUUAUCCCAAAGAUGAAUACCCUAGUAUCAUAAGCAAUAGCAUUGUGCAAGCAUCAACUGCAAUACAAAUAGCAGUAGCCUCUCAAUCCCUCGCUAUCUCUCUACAACUCUUUACUACUCUCUUUUAUUCCUCUCCCAAGGCCACACAUGACAACAACAACAACACGCUUAAUCUCUCUUCUUCCUCCCAAAAUUAGCAGCCAAUCUUUCUUCUUCCCCUCAAAUCGAACAUCAAUAGCACAGGCACCGCUGGCCACCACACCGAUCACUCCAUCGUGCAUCCCAUCGUCCAGACGCACUACACUCAUGCACACGCCCACCUCUCUCUCCAACUCCUCACCCCCGCCCCACUGCGAUCAAGGCAGAAAAAAAGAGUAUGUUGGCCUUUAUUAACUUUAUUAAUUGUCGCAUGGUUCAUCAAGGAGAUUACCUACACCAACAUUCAUCAACAAGAAAAUACCACGUAUGGCACAAGUUGGUGUGUUAGCUUCCUUGGGUAAUGCUGGAAGGUCUUCACAACCUGGAUAAGUAAAGUUUGAAAGGUUAUAACCUUGACUAACAGAAUAAAAUGAAUUUUAAUGCACACACAUGUACAUACGUCUCUAUUAUUUUCUGCUCUUAUUUUUUAGAAUCAGGUAGCCCACUUUUUCUUUAGAAUCAGAGUGAAGUCCAUAUACUGCUUGCUCACAAGUGCCGGACAAUGGAAAACUUUGACAUCCUCCUGCGUGAUCUUAAACACUUGUAGGUAAUCUCCUCCUUCAUGCUUUCGAACUCCUAAACAGUGCACUACAGCUCCAGCAUCCAUGAGCCGUCGUGCCCUGUACGUGCAAUGCAGCUCCCACAUCGAUGAGGCGGCGGGCUCCAUCUCCUGGAGAUAGACAAGCCACCGGUGAAGCCGCUGAAUCCUCUCAUCCCCACUGUAGGAUAGCACUGCCCGACUGUAGGAUUGUUCUGUGGCAACACAUGGGCAACCAUGCAUCUAUUGCUGAUUGGGAUGGUGUGCAUAAAACUACAGGAUGAUCUUUGGUUUGGCUAGAUAAGCACUUGCACGUAGCAUGCCUAUAUCACUAUUCCCAUAGAUUAAGGUAAUUCAAAUGCAUUAGACUGGUCCAAUGUGGGUGACAUGUACACUUAGUAUUAACAUUCGGAAUGGGCAGAAAUGACUGACUGAAAGUAGGAAUGUCCGGUGUGCAGUGAAGUUUAAGUCCUACACAGGAAGGAGGUGAAAGAAGAUAGUUUGGCGGUUGGGUACGUACCAUGCUUACCAGUCGGUCGUGGGAGUUUAUGUCGGACUUCCAACCAAGCAGCAGGCACACCACCUCCAGCCACCAGUCGCAGGUUGUCACAUAUAGCACCGUGUGAGCUCCUCAACCCUGCCCAUGCCCCCGGCAUCCGUGACCA
rnacentral:lncRNA from 1 species